GAUGAACGCUGGCGGCGUGCCUAAUACAUGCAAGUAGAACGCUGAAGGAGGAGCUUGCUCUUCUGGAUGAGUUGCGAACGGGUGAGUAACGCGUAGGUAACCUGCCUGGUAGCGGGGGAUAACUAUUGGAAACGAUAGCUAAUACCGCAUGACAACAGUUAUUGCAUGAUAACUGUUUAAAAGGGGCAACUGCUCCACUACCAGAUGGACCUGCGGUGUAUUAGCUAGUUGGUGUGGUAACGGCUCACCAAGGCGACGAUACAUAGCCGACCUGAGAGGGUGAUCAGCCACACUGGGACUGAGACACGGCCCAGAGUGCUACGGGAGGCGGCAGUAGGGAAACGUCGGCAAUGGGCGGAAGUCUGACCGAACAACGCCGAGUGAGGGAAGAAGGUUGUCGGGUCGUGAAGCUCUGUUGUAAGAGAAGAACGCGUGUGAGAGUGGAAAGUUCACACUGUGACGGUAUCUUACCAAAAAGGAACGGCUAACUACGUG
rnacentral:rRNA from 1 species